rnacentral:misc_RNA from 1 species
CAAGAUAUUUCAGUCUCAAUCUAGUCAUGGAGAGUUGGCCAACCAAAUAUUAACGCCAGUUCUUCAAUUCCCGAGAAACCAUCCUUGAUUCUUCUUCCUUAGUCGAAAGGCACCACCAAGCAGAAAACUUUCCACGCCCCAAUAUAGCAAUCAACACAGCACCAUAAACCAGAUUGUCUCUAUUGCACCCUCACCUGGAAAAGCUCAAGAUCUGAAAAAAUAAAACAACCUCACAAAACUAUGAAUAAACCAGACUAGGAAGGGAAGGGACCCAUCACCCAGUCGGAGAAACCAUCCUUCCCUUACCCGAAGGGCAGGAGAGGGCCACCGGAGACGCUCGACGAAGAUCGGAGAAGACUAUAGAUCAACAGUUAAAGAGAGGAUAUUCUGUCUCUAGG